CACUACAACGGGUGGAGCCUGCGGUUUAAUCGGACUCAACGCCGGGAAACUCACCAGAUAAGACAGCUGAAUGAUAGUCGGGCUGAAGACUCUACUUGACUAGCUGAGAGGAGGUGCAUGGCCGUCGUCAGUUCGUACUGUGAAGCAUCCUGUUAAGUCAGGCAACGAGCGAGACCCACGCCAACAGUUGCCAGCUCGUCCUCCGGGAUGGUGGGGACACUGUUGGGACCGCCUCUGCUAAAGAGGAGGAAGGAAUGGGCAACGGUAGGUCAGCAUGCCCCGAAUUAUCUGGGCUACACGCGGGCUACAAUGGGUGGGACAAUGGGUAUCGACACCGAAAGGUGAAGGCAAUCUCCUAAACCCAUCCGUAGUUCGGAUUGUGGGCUGCAACUCGCCCACAUGAAGCUGGAAUCUGUAGUAAUCGUGUCUCAAAAUGGCACGGUGAAUAUGUCCCUGCUCCUU
rnacentral:rRNA from 1 species